rfam:Streptococcus lutetiensis 033, complete genome.
UUCAAGGGAGUAGCAGACGGGUAAAACCCGUGACAUGGUCGUCAUUACGAAAGAAAUUUCCGGCCCUGUCUUAAACAGCGAGACUUGUUUUAAAAAACAGGUCUCUUUUU